UACGAAGGGGGCUAGCGUUGUUCGGAAUUACUGGGCGUAAAGGGCGCGUAGGCGGUGUGUCAAGUCAGGCGUGAAAGCCCCGGGCUCAACCUGGGAACCGCGCUUGAGACUGGCACGCUCGAGUUCGGGAGAGGAUGGCGGAAUUCCCAGUGUAGAGGUGAAAUUCGUAGAUAUUGGGAAGAACACCGAUGGCGAAGGCAGCCAUCUGGACCGACACUGACGCUGAGGCGCGAAAGCGUGGGGAGCAAACAGG
rnacentral:rRNA from 1 species